rnacentral:sRNA from 1 species
GCUGGGUGCAGUGGCGCAGGCCUGUAAUCCCAGUGGCUUGGGAGGUUGAGGCAGGAGGAUCGCAAGUUCAAAGCCAGCCUCAGCAAUAGCAAGACACAAAGCAACUCAGUGAGACCCUGUCUCUA